rnacentral:lncRNA from 1 species
GCUUAGUGAAUCCAAAAGACCUGUUAAUGUGAUGAUAAUACCCGGUGAAUCCAGAAGAGGUAAUGAUGUAUGAUGUUGCCUGAUGAAUUCGGAGGAUAUGUUGAUAUUAUGAUGUUGCCCGGGGAAUUCGGAGGAUAUGUUAAUGUUAUGAUGUUGUCCAGUGAAUCCAAAGGAUAUGUUGAUGUUAUGAUGUUGUCCGGUGAAUCUGCAGGAUAUAUUAAUGUUAUGAUGUU